CAAUAGGUCAAUUCGAAUAGGUCAAUUAUACUCCUCAACCUUUGCACGGUUCUUCUUCUGGCAUACGCCCUGUUCCUUGCAGGGGUUGACAAAACUUCACAACAUGUCUUGUGCACAUCCAUUUCUGUUUUACUCCAUUACAUAUUUUUGACUGCCUUUUUCUUGAUGCUAUCAGAAGGAUGCAUUAUUGCACAGUUGGUACUCAGACCCUUGGAUAUAAGGAACCGUUUGCACACGUGGCUUGGAAUUUCUUACGGAGUUCCGUUGGCAAUUGUGAUUAUUUCGGCUGCAGUAUUUAGGCUAGAAGGAUAUGGAAAUAAUCAAUUCUGCUGGCUGAGCAUUGAUACAGGACUUAUCUGGACCUUUGCUGGACCGGCAUUGGCAAUAAUAGGUGU